rnacentral:lncRNA from 1 species
CAAAAGUUCGAUCGACCGAACCUAUCGACUGAAUCUUGAAAUGCAGAGCCAAAGUGUGAAAUAAACAGAGCAAGCUUACUGAAAAUCCAGUUCAUGAAUGACCGAACUUCAGAUUCGGUUGAUCGAAAGUUAGAAGAGCACCGCCGAACCUUGAGAGGCUCAGCCGAAUUUCGAAAACACUAAAAUCAUUGAAUAGACUAACUCUCUGGAAUUUUAGUUUUAUGACGACCGAAUGUAAACUUCGGUUGAGCGAAGUUCAGAGAGGCACAACCGAAUUUAAGAAGUACAAUCGGAGUCAAAGCAAUCAAAAUAGAGCAACAUACUUGGUCUCUGGAAGUCCAGUGUAUUGACGACCAAAGUUAAAGUUUGGUUGACUGAAAGUUCAGAGACUGACGACCGAAGUUCAACAUAUGCAAAACAUAAACCACUGGAAUUUCAGUUCAUCGACGACCAAAGUUCAACUUCGAUCGACGCAAGUUCAUGACCGAAGUUUGAAAUUUUGAUCUGGCACGUCUAAGUCACAGAUCCAACAACUGAGAUUAAAUUAGAACAGCUAGAUUGGUUUGAUUAAAUGUGUGCCCCGUCUUAAACUCAUUUUUUGGCUUAACAAUUUUCAACAUAGGGUGUGAAAAAAAUUAUUGAAGUGCUCUUAAUUCUUACCCUUACUUUUUUCAUAACCUUCAACUCCUAUAAGUAUUCAUUUGUGUGAGAUUGAUUGAUAUCAAGAGUCAGAUCACUCUAGAUAAAGGAGAGUUCAUUGUAUUUAUUAUUCGAUCUAGAGUUGGUGAGCUGUAAUUACUCAUUCAUUAUACUGCGUUGUGAGAGAAUUACAUUGAGUGAUUGUAAGAUCCAAGAAUGGAGACUCUGAAGACUAAAAAGAGUUCUUUUGUGUAACGGUUUCAAGCCAAUCCGCAAGCUUUAAAGAUAGGGGAAUUCAACGAGGGAGUGGGUUGGAGACUGGACAUAGGCAAGAAAUUGGUCAAACCACUUAUAAAUCGUUUGCAACUUCUCUCUUCUCUUUUUUUCCAUUGCUUACAUACGAGUUAUAUAUAUAUAUAUAUAUAGAUAUAUAUAUCUAUAUAUAUAGCUUAUAUGUUUAUUAUUAGUAAAUUAUUGAAGAAAAAAAAUUUUAUUGGCCAAAACCUUAGCAAACUAUUUUAACCCCCUCAUACUUUUUUUCUAGCCACGUGUGAACACUGGCUUCAGUCCACUAUUAUUUUUGUUCUUUAUAUUUAUUUUCAAUACGCAAUUUCUGAUUUGUAAUAAUCUUAUAGUAUAUAUUUUAGAUUUAUUUUGUAUUUCAUUUUCCACAUCAAAAUUGUAAGAUUUUUGGUUUAUUAUUAUUAUUUUUAGAUUUAACGAAGAGUUGGUGGAUUCUCAACCUCUCUGUGUUUGGCUAAUAAUAAUAAUAAUAAUAAAGGUUAAAUACACUUUGUAACCUUAAAGCAUUGGCUGAUUCUCACAUUGACUCUCCAAGUAAAAGUUUUUGCAUUUUGUCUCUUGACCUAGUGAAUUGAUUUCAAUUAGGAUGAACACUCACUAACUCGUCUAAUUUUUUUAAAAAUUUAUAUAUGCCAAGCUAGCACUAAUAGGUUGAGUUAUUGGAGCACCAAUGUUAUAAAAAAAGGAGUUAUGGACAAAAUAAACUUGUACCAUAUUGGAUUCUGUGGCGUGAGUGUAAUGUGGCACUUGGCUUUAUUCCCAUAAUCUUUCAAUACUGGUAAAGACAAUCAAAAGUAAGUCAGAGUAAUUGAAAGGUUAAUGAGGCUGUUAUAAUGGUUUCAAUGGUGAGACUGUUACAAUACUUUCAAUGGUAGAGUUAGUAAUUUUGUGACCCUUUAAUUGUAGCUUGAAAACUUAUAAAUUUAAGACCCUCUGCAAUUAUUAUACAGAAAUUAGAGAGUAAUAAGUGACACAAACAAAGGAUUUCUAGCAUCCUACAUUGAGUCAUAAUGCGAGAGCAACACUACUAGUUAGUUGCCACACACAGAGAAGUCGUGCUAAUUACGUGUGUGUUACGUUGUAUAUGGAACACAAACGUCAAUUAGUGUAAAGUACCAAGUGAUGGGGCAAAAUUUAUAUCUAAGAGACAGUGUUGAAGUUGGCGUCGGAGCCACUAUCAUGCUUUUCUUAUUUAUAUUAUUUUAGUACGAACGUUUCUGAGUUGUAAUAAUACUGGAUAUAAGUUUCAAAUUUAUUUUGUUAUUUAUUUUUGAAUUUAUUAUAUAUCCUAUUUUUUAUUUUUUUAUCAAUAGUAAUUUUUUAAAAAAGAGAAAAGAAUAUGAAAAUGUUGUCAAUUCUUGUAAAAAAAUUAUUUUCAAAAGGAGAAUUUCUAUAAUAGUUUUUCUAAAGAAGAAAGGCUGUAUGUUAUUUUAAAAACUACAGGAGAUGGAUUGUAUUUGUCAAAAUCAUCGUGAGAAGUCAAUAAAAUUUACCCAACAAAAAAUAGGGCUAGGUAGCAGUGGUCCAAAUAGAAUCACCCCACGCAUUCUAGAAUAAA